CCUGGGUCUCCCAAGUCCUAGUCCAGCACUCUAACCACUACACCAUGCUGGCUCUCUUCCUCUUAUGUCCAUCUUAUGUUCUUAUACCCAGCUUUCCUAUGUUUCUUCUUGGUGCUGUCUGAGUUGCCCAUAUCUCUUUGCCUUCAGAUCUGUCCAAGAAGGGAAGGUCAGGUUGAGACUUCUUGCAACGUGGUGUUUGGUCUAUAGGAUACAAUACUCGUACAGUAGUGGAAAGUCUAGGAAGGCUAUUACAAUGGGACAAUCAUCCAGAAGUUUGCCUGCCUAUAAAUGCUGAUUUAUAUGGAGAGUGUCUUGCAUUGUAAUCUGUAGCAUGAUGAUUUGCACACACAGUCUCCGGCUGGUUCAAGGAUAUGAUCAACAGAGGUAUGCGGUGACACUCUUAAGUGUCCUUUCCGCCAUGCUGAUUUAUGGGGCUGCUUUCCACUUCUCCUUCCACUGCCUGUAAUGCAAUAUAAAAGGAAAUAUAAAAUGGAGCUAUAAAAUAAUUGAUUCACUGGCAUAUACUAUCAAAUGAACUUGCAGUUCAGAAAGGCAAGGGAGCACGAUAGAUGAUUGUCACUUCUAACAGUGACAAAUGCCAGAAGGGGCUUGGAAAAUGAAGCUAAUGCUAAACUUAUUUGCACAGCCGAUAGGAAAUAUGACAAUGCCAACAAGAAGUCUCCUUCAUUCAAAUAUAUUGUGGCUCUUCUGUGUAGCUCUUCAUGGGUUUUACUGUCUUUGGUUCUAAUGGAUUAAAGUGUGUAUGGGGGGGGCAUUCUUAGGUCAUGGUUUUAUCAUCUAGAUAUGACUAGAUGAUUCACUAUUUAUUAGAAGAUGUAGGUUCUUUUAAUUGUGCUUUUCAUCCCAUGACCCCCUCCACUUUUAAGGGGUGACAUCCAGCACAGCGUAAUGUAGGUGCUGCCAAUCUACCUGUGUUGCUGUGACCUUGUAGUGUAGUGCCAUCUGUGUUGUGCUUGGCCAUCAAUGGUGUAUUUCUGACCUAAGUCACACUUCCUGAAUGUGGGUGCACUAAUCGAAAUAUUUGUGCCCUUGUGCAAAAGCAUA